rnacentral:lncRNA from 1 species
ACAGAAUCCUCAGCACUUUGCAAACGAGGAAAUGAAAACAAAGGAAGGGAGAAAUUAAAAAGCCCGGCAGAAAGGAUAAAACUGGGGACAUCUGAUCUGGAACGCUACCAUUACGGUGCUCUCGUGACAUUCGUACUGCAGUACUGACUUGGGAGGCUGCCCUACUUCAGUGGCAUCGGUAGUGAUCUGUGUCCUCAGCUGCACCUUUCCAACGUGAUCAC